rnacentral:rRNA from 1 species
ACGAAACCAACAUCAGUUUCGAUUACUAUAAAAUGACUGGCGGAAUGUAGCUUCGAUUUCGGUUGAAGUGUUAUAGCCUCUGGUAGAUGUGGUGAUUGGGACUGAGGAUUACAACGAAUAUCCUUUGGGCUAUCCGCCUGGCCUCUGAAAGUUGCUUAGGUGCUGAAAGCUUGCUUAUGGUUAUCUAAGUUAACGGUUAAUAGGUUAGAACGUGAUUACAUUCGUUAAGGAUGUUGACGUAA